rnacentral:rRNA from 1 species
AUUGAACGCUGGCGGCAGGCCUAACACAUGCAAGUCGAGCGAGCGGCGGACGGGUGAGUAAUGUAUGCGGACUGCCCGAUAGAUGGCGUUCACUACUGGAAACGGUGGCUAAUACCGCAUACUAUCGGAUUACCCAUAUGGGAUUAGCUAGUAGGUGGGGUAAAGGCUCACCUAGGCGACGAUCUCUAGCUGGUCUGAGAGGAGGAUAAGGCACACUGGGACUGAGAGACGGCCAAGAGUGCUAGGGAGGCAGCAGUGGGGAAUAUGGGACAAUGGGAGAAAGCCUGAGGCAGGCAUGCCGCGUGUAUGAAGAAGGCAUUAGGGGUGUAAAGUACUUUCAGCGGGGAGGCGUUACCAGAAGAAGAAGCACCGGCGAACUACGUGCCAGCAGCCGCGGUAAUUC